CCGAGCCAAGAUCGUGCCACUGCACUUCAGCCUGGGUGACAGAGUGAGACUCCAUCUCAAAAAAAAAAUAAAUAAAAUAAAAAUACUUGAAUGAGAAUCGUCGCCGAGAAGGUUUCCUGGAUGUUCCCUGCUGUGGUGGAAUACUCCCUUCGGGGUUUCGCCCUUCAGUGGGACUUUCAGGCCUCCAUGCAGGCUGUCCCCCUGCAGCUGACCUGUCCGCCCCUCCUAUGUUGCACAUGGCGGGCCAGAGUCGGUAGCUGGUAGAAGGCUUCCGGGGCUGUGUUAACGGGCGUGGUGUCAUGUGUGAACAUCAUUCCAGGAGAGGGGGCCUCCUCGGGGGAAGCUGCUCGCUGAUCUGGCCAGGCGCCUGGGCCUCCACUAUGUGGUCUACAGCGGCCUGGAGAACAUCAAGAAGCUGACGGCAGGGAGAUUGGCCGCUGCGCACUUUGACGGCAAAGGGGAGGUGGAGGAAUAUUUCCGGGACAUUGGCGUUCCCAUGACCAGUGUGCGACUGCCCUGCUAUUUUGAGAACCUCCUCUCCCACUUCUUGCCCCAGAAAGCCCCAGAUGGAAAGAGUUACUUGCUGAGCUUGCCCACAGGUGACGUUCCCAUGGAUGGCAUGUCCGUGUCUGACC
rnacentral:sRNA from 1 species